rnacentral:pre_miRNA from 1 species
CAACUAAGGCCCUGAUCCAAAACUCACUGAAGUCAAUAGGAGUCUUUCCAUUGACUUCAUUGGGCUUUGGAUCAGGCCCUAUAUG